rnacentral:lncRNA from 10 species
AAAAAGAAAGAAAGAGAAAAUGGUGCGGAAGAAGGAACAUCUCCUUUGUCUUUCUGAGAUUCCCUUCUCUAGAAGUUGUCAAUCGGGAGAAUCUGCAUUCUCAAGGUCAAGCUCUGGAAUUCCAUUAGACAGCAGGGAGCCAGAAGAGCAGGCUGAGGAGUCAAAUCGAGAAAUGGAAAGAAACAAGCCAGGAGAAGUCUUACGAUUCUGCUUCUACAGCCUGCAAAGAGCCAAAGCCGAGGUGCUGCACGGCCCUGAGCUACACCUCUGCUCUCACUUUCAUCACCCUACCAGGCUCCUCGGGUGGCUUCUUCCCACAUGCCCCCCCCCCCCGCCUCCCAAGACGGAGUUUCGCUCUUAUAAACGGGCUGGAGUGAAGUAACGUGAUCUCAGCUCGCUGCAACCUCCUCCCCCGCAGGUUCAAGCGAUUCUCCUGCCUCAGCCUCCAAAGUAGCUGGAAUUACAGGCACCCACCACCAUGC